GCAUGGAUUUGGAUUUAUGGCAGGCUUGUCACCCUGGGUCUCUCAUAGCAUACCAUGCUACAGCACACUAUGUCUCCCAACCAUUGCCUGGCCUCUGUGCCUGUAGAUUGCUGGCACUGAAGUGGGUCCCCCAAUG